rnacentral:lncRNA from 1 species
GUGAGUACAGGGAAGCAGCGGCCGCCAUUUCAGGGAGCUUGUCGACGCUGUCGCAGGGGUGGAUCCUGAGCUGCCGAAGCCGCCGUCCUGCUCUCCCGCGUGGGCUUCUCUAAUUCCAUUGUUUUUUUUAGAUUCUCUCGGGCCUAGCCGUCCUUGGAACCCGAUAUUCGGGCUGGGCGGUUCCGCGGCCUGGGCCUAGGGGCUUAACAGUAGCAACAGAAGCGGCGGCGGCGGCAGCAGCAGCAGCAGCAGCAGCAAUCUCUUCCCGAACACGAGCACCACAGGCGCCCGAAGGCCGGAACAGGCGUUUAGAGAAAAUGGCAGACGAUAUUGAUAUUGAAGCAAUGCUUGAGGCUCCUUACAAGAAGGAUGAGAACAAGUUGAGCAGUGCCAACGGCCAUGAAGAACGUAG